AUCAAGCAGGAGUCUUCAUGCACACCCUACACAGUCCCCAAAGGCAGCCAUUCAAAUCCCACUAUUUAUAUUUUUACUUGUAUAGCAGGCAUCCCGAUAGCCAAGCAGUUAGCAAGAGUGAGACAAUACACUCCACACCAGACUGGAAUAAUUUGAACAAGUCAAAUUGAACGUAACUGUUGAUAUUAGCAAAUGUUAUUCAAUAGUUUUGAAGAAUCAAAUUAUAACCAUACUAUAAUUCAUUAUAAGUUCCUCAUUUAUGUGGUGAAGCUGCUGUUAGAACUGCUCUGAGAUUUAGCAGCACUCACACAGGCACUCCAAAGGCAUACUGAUGUAUCCUCAACCAGCAUGUUGGUGCUGGGCUGAAGCCUCCAGGCCACCUCAUAGCCUCCCCAAGAAAGACAAAGCAUCCUAUCACACUGUAAAACCUGCCUAGGAACGGCUCAAGACGCACGUCUGGAAAAAUGUCAAGGUGUCUGGUGCAAAGGAUUGAUUUUAAUGACGUGCUCGUUGGCUUUUACUUUUUAUUUAUUGUGGCUGUAUGUGCCAAACUAGGAGAUCAAGAGCAAUAACAGCAGCUCAUUAAAUGAGACUUCUGCAGUGGCUUUGUGUGUCUUUUUGGAUUUUUCUUUUAAAUAAAGCAAAUAGUCCCAAAUUCCUUCUGUCUAUAGUCAGUCAGUCUGACCCUUAAGUAACUUAACUGAUGUCCACAAAACAGUGACGCUGUUGGCUGACGCUAAUAGUUUGUGAUGACUCUGAUACCCUUAUUUUUCUAUGCGUAUGCACUUUAGAGACACCCUGAGGUACUCACCAGCUUUCACAGCACGGAAACAGUCACACAAUUAAAAAAUCUGCACUUUCAUGUCAAAUCCUCAAUGAAAAGUAGAAUAAUGACAUUUGAAAACAAUUAUCUUUAAUUUCUCAGCCGCUAUUGUUUUAUGAUUUAUGGAGAGAAGCUGGUAAUUUGUCCAAAGUAAAAAAAAUAAAAUAAAAUAAAAAGAAAUGUGAGAGAAACUUUUUAACAGCUACUGCUGUACAAUUGCAAAGCAUGUUGGUUUUCUUUGUUUAUCAAUUCUCACGAUUUCUCAGUUCUUCGCUCUAGACUUUUCUAACAUUCAUUGUAUUUUGAAUUAUAAUUUUGUAAAGCACCGCUGCAGUAAAUGAAGGUACCUUGAAGAAAUGCCUCAAUAUGUUAACUGACAUUUUUUUUAACAUUGUAAAUUAAGAACAAAACUGUUUCUUACUCAUAGGAAAUGGGCAGAGAUGUCCAGAAAUGUAUAAAUGUAUUUGUCAAUCAACUAUAUUUCCAGUAAAACUAAAGAUUUUGAGAAUUCA
ensembl:lncRNA